rnacentral:rRNA from 1 species
CCUACGGGAGGCAGCAGUAAGGAAUAUUGGUCAAUGGACGCAAGUCUGAACCAGCCAUGCCGCGUGAAGGAUUAAGGCCCCCUGGGUUGUAAACUUCUUUUAUAGGGGACGAAAAAAGGGCAUUCUUGCUCACUUGACGGUACCCUAGGAAUAAGCACCGGCUAACUCCGUGCCAGCAGCCGCGGUAAUACGGAGGGUGCAAGCGUUAUCCGGAUUUACUGGGUUUAAAGGGUGCGUAGGUGGGUUGGUAAGUCAGUGGUGAAAUCUUCGAGCUUAACUCGGAAACUGCCAUUGAUACUAUCAAUCUUGAAUCAUCUAGAGGUAAGCGGAAUAUGUCAUGUAGCGGUGAAAUGCUUAGAUAUGACAUAGAACACCAAUUGCGAAGGCAGCUUACUAUGGAUGCAUUGACACUGAGGCACGAAAGCGUGGGGAUCAAACAGGAUUAGAUACCCUGGUAGUCCACGCCCUAAACGAUGGAUACUCGACAUUUGUGAUAUACAAUAAGUGUCUGAGCGAAAGCAUUAAGUAUCCCACCUGGGAAGUACGACCGCAAGGUUGAAACUCAAGAUAGUAGCGNGNGAGAGCGACGACGACGACGAGGGAGGGAGGAG